UGCCAGCCGCCGCGGUAAUACGUAGGGAGCAAGCGUUGUCCGGAAUUAUUGGGCGUAAAGGGUGCGUAGGCGGUUUAUCAAGUCAGAUGUGAAAUACCCAGGCUUAACUUGGGAGGUGCAUUUGAAACUGAUAGACUUGAGUAAAGAAGAGGUAAGUGGAAUUCCUAGUGUAGCGGUGGAAUGCGUAGAUAUUAGGAGGAACACCAGUGGCGAAGGCGACUUAUUGGUCUUUUACUGACGCUGAGGCGCGAAGGCGGGGGUAGCGAACGGGAUUAGAUA
rnacentral:rRNA from 1 species